rnacentral:rRNA from 1 species
CCUUUUGUAUAAUGGGUCAGCGACUUAUAUUCUGUAGCAAGGUUAACCGAAUAGGGGAGCCGAAGGGAAACCGAGUCUUAACUGGGCGUUAAGUUGCAGGGUAUAGACCCGAAACCCGGUGAUCUAGCCAUGGGCAGGUUGAAGGUUGGGUAACACUAACUGGAGGACCGAACCGACUAAUGUUGAAAAAUUAGCGGAUGACUUGUGGCUGGGGGUGAAAGGCCAAUCAAACCGGGAGAUAGCUGGUUCUCCCCGAAAGCUAUUUAGGUAGCGCCUCGUGAAUUCAUCUCCGGGGGUAGAGCACUGUUUCGGCAAGGGGGUCAUCCCGACUUACCAACCCGAUGCAAACUGCGAAUACCGGAGAAUGUUAUCACGGGAGACACACGGCGGGUGCUAACGUCCGUCGUGAAGAGGGAAACAACCCAGACCGCCAGCUAAGGUCCCAAAGUCAUGGUUAAGUGGGAAACGAUGUGGGAAGGCCCAGACAGCCAGGAUGUUGGCUUAGAAGCAGCCAUCAUUUAAAGAAAGCGUAAUAGCUCACUGGUCGAGUCGGCCUGCGCGGAAGAUGUAACGGGGCUAAACCAUGCACCGAAGCUGCGGCAGCGACGCUGAUGCGUUGUUGGGUAGGGGAGCGUUCUGUAAGCCUGCGAAGGUGUGCUGUGAGGCAUGCUGGAGGUAUCAGAAGUGCGAAUGCUGACAUAAGUAACGAUAAAGCGGGUGAAAAGCCCGCUCGCCGGAAGACCAAGGGUUCCUGUCCAACGUUAAUCGGGGCAGGGUGAGUCGACCCCUAAGGCGAGGCCGAAAGGCGUAGUCGAUGGGAAACAGGUUAAUAUUCCUGUACUUGGUGUUACUGCGAAGGGGGGACGGAGAAGGCUAUGUUGGCCGGGCGACGGUUGUCCCGGUUUAAGCGUGUAGGCUGGUUUUCCAGGCAAAUCCGGAAAAUCAAGGCUGAGGCGUGAUGACGAGGCACUACGGUGCUGAAGCAACAAAUGCCCUGCUUCCAGGAAAAGCCUCUAAGCAUCAGGUAACAUCAAAUCGUACCCCAAACCGACACAGGUGGUCAGGUAGAGAAUACCAAGGCGCUUGAGAGAACUCGGGUGAAGGAACUAGGCAAAAUGGUGCCGUAACUUCGGGAGAAGGCACGCUGAUAUGUAGGUGAGGUCCCUCGCGGAUGGAGCUGAAAUCAGUCGAAGAUACCAGCUGGCUGCAACUGUUUAUUAAAAACACAGCACUGUGCAAACACGAAAGUGGACGUAUACGGUGUGACGCCUGCCCGGUGCCGGAAGGUUAAUUGAUGGGGUUAGCGCAAGCGAAGCUCUUGAUCGAAGCCCCGGUAAACGGCGGCCGUAACUAUAACGGUCCUAAGGUAGCGAAAUUCCUUGUCGGGUAAGUUCCGACCUGCACGAAUGGCGUAAUGAUGGCCAGGCUGUCUCCACCCGAGACUCAGUGAAAUUGAACUCGCUGUGAAGAUGCAGUGUACCCGCGGCAAGACGGAAAGACCCCGUGAACCUUUACUAUAGCUUGACACUGAACAUUGAGCCUUGAUG